CUCCAGGUCAGCUUGGACGGCGGCCGUGACGCUGUUAGAACGUUUAAAACGUCCGUGUCUGCAAAAGGAGGGAAGGAAGACAGAUGGUAGCCCUUCUGAGAGGACUUCAUGCAACAAAGUCCUACAUGUCGCCUGUCAGGAGCGCACCUGAGCUCAACAGCCUGGCGGCUCAAGGGCAGGUAAUAUUUUUGAAGUGAAACAAUUUCACGGUGUAUGAAGGCCUUGAACGUGCUUUGCUGUCUUUCUAUCGUUUUACGUGUAACAUGACAAGGCGUAAGGCCUGCAUUGGCGUCACCCUCAGCCCGUCCUUCUUUCCUUUGGAUCAAGGACUCUGACUUUCAGGCCGUCAGCUGCUCUGCUUUCAGAGGUGAUAAAUUACUUUGGAAAGAAUUACUCCCUUGCCUCUUGCAAAAACAAGACAUAGGCGGGUGUUAAUUCAUACUUGAGGGUUAUCAAUGGAAAAGUAUAAACGUAUGGCCCUGUUUCCACAAGGACAGGCAUGAUUGAGGGCCGGCAGGAUCUAGGAGCUUCCAUCAGGCCUUUGACAAAGAGCCCUCGCUCGGGGGUCACCGCGUGUCAGGAGGGGCUGAGUUACCGCUUCUCAUCUUCCACUUGCACCCCGACAGAGUGGUAUUCCCGCAGACCGCGGCUCUCCGUGUCAGAAUCUGUGGCCGUUUCCACCUAAUUCAACAGAGAACGUCUUAUUUUAGAACUGAAACAUGGGGCCUGGGCAAGGGACUAUUUUGUUGUUGUUGUGGAUUUGCUGUAAUUAAUUACGCAUUUGUUUAAUUAAUGCAGCGGUGCACUUGACCCAGUAAAACCGCAGAGAGGGAAAUGCAUUCACACUGGAGUAAUUACAUCACUCCUGCGUCUCAUCACAUUUUACAUAACUACCUGAACUCAAGGCUGCAGUUUGGUCUUCUAAAUGUAUGCAAAUAAAACUGCUUAGUUCAGCUCAGGCAAAAAAUAGGUGUUGUUGAACUGCAUUAUAACAGGACUUAAAAGCUCUUAUCACGCCCUAUGGUGAAGAAAGUACAGCAUGAACCAAACACAGCUAAUGACAACAAAUAAGCGAUUUAAAAGACUUAUACUGAUGGCUGCAUCCACGUACAGAAAGACACAGAAAGGAAUUUCAGCACUGAUCAGAAACAGAGGCAAACUCUCCACCUUCAUCUCCAUAGAGCUGUCUCACGUCUGCUAAGAGGAUGGCCAGCAGGGUGACGUCAGAUCAGAACAGAAAUCAUGUAUUCCACAGAGAAUUCUGAUUGUGGCUGUAUUUGCCAAAAAGUCCCCACAAACCCAACAAGCCUUGCAAUGAUCAUCAGCUAUGUGAAGUUAUCCCACAAGGGAAUUCUAGUACAGUACGUUCUCUAAAAAAAAAAAAACAAAACCAAACCAA